rnacentral:rRNA from 1 species
GAUGAACGCUGGCGGCGUGCCUAAUACAUGCAAGUCGAGCGAACAGACGAGGAGCUUGCUCCUCUGAUGUUAGCGGCGGACGGGUGAGUAACACGUGGAUAACCUACCUAUAAGACUGGGAUAACUUCGGGAAACUGGAGCUAAUACCGGAUAAUAUAUUGAACCGCAUGGUUCAAUAGUGAAAGACGGUUUUGCUGUCACUUAUAGAUGGAUCCGCGCCGCAUUAGCUAGUUGGUAAGGUAACGGCUUACCAAGGCGACGAUGCGUAGCCGACCUGAGAGGGUGAUCGGGCAACCCUGGACUUGGGAACGGGCCCGACCUCCUAGGGGAGGAACCAUUGGGGAUUCUGCCGAAAGGGGCGAAAGCUUGACGAGGCAAGGCGGCGUGAGGGAGAAAGGUCUCCGGUUCGUAAACCUUUUUUAUUAGGGAAGAACAAAGUGGUAAGUAACUAUGACAGUCUGAACGGUACUAAUUCAGAAGGCCCCGGCAAAUAAGUG